UGGGCUACACAUGCAGUCGACGCUGAAGCUUGGGUGUUUUUCAUCUGGGUGGAUGAGUGGCGAACGGGUGAGUAAUACGUGAGUAACCUGCCCUUGACUCUGGGAUAAGCCUGGGAAACUGGGUCUAAUACUGUAUACUACAUACCCUCGCAUGGGGGUGUGUGGAAAGGGUUUUACUGGUUUUGGAUGGGCUCACGGUCUAUCAGCUUGUUGGUGGGGUAAUGGCCUACCAAGGCGACGACGGGUAGCCGGCCUGAGAGGGUGACCGGCCACACUGGGACUGAGACACGGCCCAGACUCCUACGGGAGGCAGCAGUGGGGAAUAUUGCACAAUGGGCGAAAGCCUGAUGCAGCGACGCCGCGUGAGGGAUGACGGCCUUCGGGUUGUAAACCUCUUUCAGCACGGAAGAAGCGAAAGUGACGGUACGUGCAGAAGAAGCGCCGGCUAACUACGUGCCAGCAGCCGCGGUAAUACGUAGGGCGCAAGCGUUGUCCGGAAUUAUUGGGCGUAAAGAGCUCGUAGGCGGUUUGUCGCGUCUGCUGUGAAAGCCCGGGGCUUAACCCCGUGGUGUGCAGUGGGUACGGGCAGACUAGAGUGCAGUAGGGGAGACUGGAAUUCCUGGUGUAGCGGUGAAAUGCGCAGAUAUCAGGAGGAACACCGAUGGCGAAGGCAGGUCUCUGGGCUGUUACUGACGCUGAGGAGCGAAAGCAUGGGGAGCGAACAGGAUUAGAUACCCUGGUAGUCCAUGCCGUAAACGUUGGGCACUAGGUGUGGGGGACAUUCCACGUUUUCCGCGCCGUAGCUAACGCAUUAAGUGCCCCGCCUGGGGAGUACGGCCGCAAGGCUAAAACUCAAAGGAAUUGACGGGGGCCCGCACAAGCGGCGGAGCAUGCGGAUUAAUUCGAUGCAACGCGAAGAACCUUACCAAGGCUUGACAUACACCAGACCGGCCCAGAGAUGGGUUUCCUCUUUGAGGUUGUGUACAGGUGGGGAUGGUUGUCGCAGC
rnacentral:rRNA from 1 species